rnacentral:tRNA from 1 species
UAGAGUCUUAAGUUAUUCAAACUAUAAGCCUUCCAAGCUUAAAAAAAGCCCGUUAGACUUUAA